UGCUUUUAAAGGCUUAGAUGUGCAAUCAAUCACCUUGCUCUCCAAACUCUCUUAUCUUUGAAACAACUCAACCUUGGCCGAAUUUUUUGUGUCAAUUUACUCUCUCUUGAAGCUUGGUUUUUGAGUGGAACUUUUCACCAACAAGCUUAGAGAUUACUGUAGCGAGCUUUAGUUCGCAAGACUUGGUGAACCCGACUCUGUAGCUUGGAGCCAGGAGAAGAUCAAGUCUAGGAUCGGGGGGUGUCUGUGGAUCGUAUUGUCUGCUUUUAUCAAUAUCUCUAUAUUACCCUCUUGUGAGUGUAAGACUUGUAUUUUGACUGUAUUUGUAAUUUGUGAACUGUUGGGUUGUAUUUGUAUUCUGUAGGGCUGCUAAAGUCCGUACUUGUAGUAUUUCAGUUUCCAGUAUCCUAUUUGUGCUUUUGUGUUCUGUUCA